GGCCCUCUCUACCUAUGGAGACACCUUUGGGGAGUGCUCCAUCUGAAUGUCAACUUCUCUAGAUGCACCUACAAGUGGCAAAAUAGAAUAAGAGGUCAGUUGUCCAGCUGCCCUACUGGACCUCCUACUGCUCAUCCAUGCCACCUCACCUUCGAAGAACUGAAUUCUCAUCAAAGAUCACAUCCCUAAUGCUAAUGACCUUCUUCUCUAAGAGAUCCC
rnacentral:lncRNA from 1 species